UAACCCACGAUGAUAAUUUUGUGAAAUAAAUAUCCUGUUGCUGUUAGAAUAAUGAAUGCUAAUGGUGUAAUGAACUUGAAGACUGUUAGCUACUCCCCAUGGAGGGGAGAGGCUAAUGACUGGGAAGUGAUACAUGUGGCCCAAAUCACUUGGCUCCAUUUUCAUGGAAGCUGUGUGGCACAGCAGUUACAUACACUCACUCUGGAGACAGUUCCUUCUCAUCUUGGUUCCUCUUAGUGCCAAUCCAUAAAGGCAGAGCACAGCAUCAUUGCGUGGAUGUUGGUACUUAUGGAUUCUUCAAUUUGGAGAAUGAGGUAAAAAAAAAACCCAACAAAUAAAACCUGUUCUCUGAAGAAUGUUACAACAGUUCCUGACAAAGCAGGAGCAACAUAACAUACACUUAACAUAUAAGUUAUGGCUUGAGUUCAACUAGAGAGGGAGCACAAGUGGGGGCCCAGAAGCACAGAAAGACAAGCCUACUCCCUUCUCAGCAGGGAGCCCAAUGGCAGACUUGAUCCCCGGACCCUGAGAUCAUGAUUCCAGCCCAAAGCAGGCUUAACCAACUCAGCC